ACGCUGGCGGCGUGCCUAAUACAUGCAAGUCGAGCGAAUGGAUUAAGAGCUUGCUCUUAUGAAGUUAGCGGCGGACGGGUGAGUAACACGUGGGUAACCUGCCCAUAAGACUGGGAUAACUCCGGGAAACCGGGGCUAAUACCGGAUAACAUUUUGAACUGCAUGGUUCGAAAUUGAAAGGCGGCUUCGGCUGUCACUUAUGGAUGGACCCGCGUCGCAUUAGCUAGUUGGUGAGGUAACGGCUCACCAAGGCAACGAUGCGUAGCCGACCUGAGAGGGUGAUCGGCCACACUGGGACUGAGACACGGCCCAGACUCCUACGGGAGGCAGCAGUAGGGAAUCUUCCGCAAUGGACGAAAGUCUGACGGAGCAACGCCGCGUGAGUGAUGAAGGCUUUCGGGUCGUAAAACUCUGUUGUUAGGGAAGAACAAGUGCUAGUUGAAUAAGCUGGCACCUUGACGGUACCUAACCAGAAAGCCACGGCUAACUACGUGCCAGC
rnacentral:rRNA from 1 species